CGUAAGCCUGACGGAGCAAUACCGCGUGAGGGAGGAAGGCUCUUGGGUUGUAAACCUCUUUUCUCAAGGAAUAAGAAAGUGAAGGUACUUGAGGAAUAAGCAUCGGCUAACUCCGUGCCAGCAGCCGCGGUAAUACGGAGGAUGCAAGCGUUAUCCGGAAUGAUUGGGCGUAGAGCGUCCGCAGGUAGCAUUGAAAGUCUGCUGUUAAAGAGUCUGGCUCAACCAGAUAAAGGCAGUGGAAACUACAAAGCUAGAGUGCGUUCGGGGUAGAGGGAAUUCCUGGUGUAGCGGUGAAAUGCGUAGAGAUCAGGAAGAACACCGGUGGCGAAGGCGCUCUACUAGGCCGCAACUGACACUGAGGGACGAAAGCUAGGGGAGCGAAUGGGAUUAGAUACCCCAGUAGUUCUAGCCGUAAACGAUGGAUACUAGGCGUUGCUUGUAUCGACCCGAGCAGUGCCGUAGCUAACGCGUUAAGUAUCCCGCCUGGGGAGUACGCACGCAAGUGUGAAACUCAAAGGAAUUGACGGGGGCCCGCACAAGCGGUGGAGUAUGUGGUUUAAUUCGAUGCAACGCGAAGAACCUUACCAGGGCUUGACAUGUCGCGAAUCCCGGUGAAAGCUGGGAGUGCCUUAGGGAGCGCGAACACAGGUGGUGCAUGGCUGUCGUCAGCUCGUGUCGUGAGAUGUUGGGUUAAGUCCCGCAACGAGCGCAACCCUCGUUGUUAGUUGCCAGCACUUAGGGUGGGCACUCUAACAAGACUGCCGGUGACAAACCGGAGGAAGGUGGGGAUGACGUCAAGUCAGCAUGCCCCUUACGUCCUGGGCUACACACGUACUACAAUGCGACGGACAGAGGGCAGCGAGCAUGCGAAUGCAAGCAAAUCCCGAAAACCGGCGCUCAGUUCAGAUCGAAGGCUGCAACUCGCCUUCGUGAAGGUGGAAUCGCUAGUAAUUGCAGGUCAGCAUACUGCAGUGAAUUCGUUCCCGGGCCUUGUACACACCGCCCGUCACACCAUGGAAGCUGGUAGUGCCCGAAGUCGUUACCCCAACCUUUCGGGGUGGGGGAUGCCUAAGGCAGGACUGGUGACUGGGGUGAA
rnacentral:rRNA from 1 species